rnacentral:rRNA from 1 species
UUUGACCUCGGAUCAGGUAGGAAUACCCGCUGAACUUAAGCAUAUCAAUAAAGCGGA